rnacentral:rRNA from 1 species
GACGAACGCUGGCGGCGUGCCUAAUACAUGCAAGUCGAGCGCAGGAAGCCGUCUGAACCCUUCGGGGGGACGACGGUGGAAUGAGCGGCGGACGGGUGAGUAACACGUAAGGAACCUGCCCAUAGGUCUGGGAUAACCACGAGAAAUCGGGGCUAAUACCGGAUGUGUCAUCGGACCGCAUGGUCCGCUGAUGAAAGGCGCUCCGGCGUCGCCCAUGGAUGGCUUUGCGGUGCAUUAGCUAGUUGGGGGGGUAACGGCCCACCAAGGCGACGAGGCAUAGCCGACCUGAGAGGGUGAUCGGCCAAACUGGGACUGAGACACGGCCCAGACUCCUACGGGAGGCAGCAGUAGGGAAUCUUCCACAAUGGACGAAAGUCUGAUGGAGCAACGCCGCGUGAACGAUGAAGGCUUUCGGGUCGUAAAGUUCUGUUGUAAGGGAAGAACAAGUGCCGCAGGCAAUGGCGGCACCUUGACGGUACCUUGCGAGAAAGCCACGGCUAACUACGUGCCAGCCGCCGCAGUAAAAC